UGUUCCAGUUUGUGUGGGUGGGUCUCUGC
rnacentral:piRNA from 1 species